CAAAGGGAUCAUCCAUGAUUUAUGUUCCUGUCCACAUUGUGUAUUACGAUAAGAACCUCCUGAAAAAACAGCAAGUCCAAUGAGAUGUCAAGUAUGUGGUACAAAAAGGCCUGGAAAGCAAAACACAUGUGCUGUCAGUGCAAGCAAUACAUGUAUAUGGAAUAUGCUGAUUUCAUGCGUCAAGACUACCUUAGUUCUGUAGACUGGGAAACUCAAGCUUGAGGGGCCAUAAUUGGUGAAGGCUUUCUUAUUCAUCGCCCCCUGUUCAAAGCAGAAGAACAAGAAAUCACACAACAGAGACAGAGCAAGGGAGCCAAGUUCAUCCUUUUAGUAGGACCCCACAACUAUGUAAAGGAUUCCAGUUACGGAGAGCUACUCCAGGGAGUCAUGGCAUAGCACCACCACCAAGAGUGGAAACACAGGUCCUUCUAUGGGAGUGUCGAUAGUCUAAUGAACGAGUAAAGUAAGAAUGUUGCUGAUUUAUGGAGCAUUACGAAAAACUCCUCGCUUUACUUCCUUAAGCUCCCUAGGGUUGGUCUCAAGACAGAAACACUUAAUCAGAUUCCUUCUGUAAAGAGCUAUCCUCCUCCACAGACACACCACUUCACAAAAUGUGGGGGGUCAAAGUCAGGAGACUGCUUCAGAAACCUUUUUGUGCGAUGGUUUAUGGAACGGAGCAAAAGUACACAUAACCCCAGACAGACUUACAAGUACAUACUUGUUUAUCCAGGUAGAAAUUCUGAACCUUCUAAGUCUGCCAUUCAUGAGAAGGUAUUUCAUUAUUCAUAGACUGGUUAUAAAGUAUGUACUUAUUUUCCAGGAAAUGUAAGUAGAGAAAGACAUGCCCAUGGGGUUACAUAAAACCCUAUCUGUGCCGAAGACAUUUGACUCAUUGUUCAAAACAAAUUUGUGCCUCCACAAAUAUGACUC